AGAUUGGUGGCAUUUAAUCAACCUGGCCCAAAAUAAGCCCGCAAGUCAAUCUGCAACGUGAAAUAAUGCUCCAGCAAGAAGAGCGGUUGAUGGUAACAAAAAUUCCGAUUUUCAUCAAUAUUCAUGUACGCACACACCGUCGUGGACGAACUCCCCAUGGUGGCGAGUGGAUUUGCAGAAUGUGGUAGGUAUACCAGGGACCCUAUUCCAGUUAAAGCCGGGGUCCCUCUUUAGCACGAAGUUACGCCACUACCCACUGGACAUAACCAUGGAUUGUAAAAUAACUGGAUAGGAAACUUCCUGACGUCACAGUCUAAACCUAGUUGCAAUCUGUGACGUCACGCGUAUUGCCAAAGUUCUCAGCAUUUUUGUUUCGCUAUAUUUCCCGCUUUAAAAGAGUAAUAUUGAAGCAUCAACUGGUCUAAUUGUUUUAAAAAAAUGCCUAAGCCACGACAAAGUAUUCAAGGUAAAUGUUUUUCGUCUUUGUUUUGUAUUUUUUUUACAUUUGUAGCUACGAAAUUGGCGUAGCCAAUUUUAACGAAAUUUGCGAUGCAUUUUUCACUGUUUAGUGCUUGAAAUAUUUGCUAAAUUUGACUGGAAAUACUUCAUCGUAGAAUGGCGUAGUUAUAUUCAGUUGCUCUUUGACUAAAAUGUUUUGCUGUAUUAUUGCUAAACAUGCCGUUUUUGAGAAUUUGGUUUGCAACUAGGUUUGAACAUCCAACCACGCCCAUUGAAAACAUUAGGUCACGUCAGCUAGUUUCCUAUCCAUUUAUUUUAUUAUCCAUGAUAUAACAUACCGCGAUACAAUAUGGACGCGAAUGUUGUAAAUGGCUUAUGAAACGUCUCGAUGAGAACGUUCGUAUUCUUCAACAUUUUAAAAUAAAUGAAUGAUAUUCGGUGAGAAAAUUGAACUUAAAGUUUAUGUAAAUCAGCAUAAUUCUGUAUCAGAAUUCAGAUAUGUGGGGUGUCUAAAUAAAAGUGAACUUUAGAAAUUCACCUUUGUUAUAAUUUGAAUGUCUGAGUCCUACUUUAUACAUGGGAAGUUAUUUAAACGUUUUUGGUAUCGUUCAAUAUAUGAAUGUGAUUAUGUCAGUGGGUUCAGACUAUGGGUUCAGACCGGGCGAACCCAGGCCCCCCCCCCCCCACCACAAUGGGCUAAAUGGGGGGGGGGGGCACGCUGUAGAGCAAAAACAUUGGCUAGCAAGGCCUCUGAUAUGUUACAAUGUCGUCUUCUGACCAUUAGAAUUGUGCAAAAUCUGUCCCCGAAGUCCGGGAAAUGGCACUAUUUCAGAGACUCUAUAGAUUAAAACAUUUUCCGGGUAAGCAUGCCCUGGGCCCCAAAGAAAACUCGUGCAUAUACGGCGCUCGACUCGUGCCUUUGGCACUUCUCCUAGUCCUAGGGGGGCCUUCGAAAAUUUGGAACCCGGGGCCCCCUGAGAUAGCGUUACGCCACUGGUUAUGUGCUGAUGAAUUUAACGCAGCGCGUAAAACAGUAAAAACUCUUUGCUCAUUGAAACAUUUUUAAUCGUACUGACAGGACCAAUUUCUAAGUCGUUUUAACUUUCAGUUAGAAUUUUCAUGUACAAUUUAUGCAGUUUUAACAUGCUCGUACGAUUACAAUGCAUUCUAAACUCCCAGAGGUAAUGAAGUUUGGGUGUUUACAACAAAAGGGUAAUUUCUAAAUGACUAAAUGUUCAUUUUUUGAGACAUGUACAAACUCCUUCACGCUCAUGAUUUCUUUUGACAGUUUUGUGUUUUCCUCAUAAAUUAUUAAUGAGUUUCACAAAUAUAUACACACAAUUAAAAACAUCUUUCAAAUCAAGUAGGUACAAUUGAAGUCUUUUAGUCUUGAGUCGGGCCGACAAUUUUAGGCUUAUACGAAACAAAACUUAGGGCCAGCAUGUUCACUGAUAUGAGCCGCCGUCAUUAGCGAACUUAAGGCUUAACCCACUGAUCUAAUAGUGGCUUAACCUAGUACGGAGACCUUUGCCUCGUACCCAGGCGCUAUGUGUUGUUAUAUGGCUUGCGUGGCCUUUGUGUGGAUUAAAUCCAUUUCCCCCACACGUGUCGUCCCGCGUGCGUGUCGCGCGACGGUGUAGCACAACAAAGCGUCUGGGUACGAGGCAGCGCGGAGACCUGCUGACAGGUCUUCAGUAAAUUUUACACGUCAAAAGCUAUGAGCUACCGUUUCUUGGAACCUCAAAGAAGGAGGACAGAAAUGCAACGACAACGGCUACUAAUACAAUGAAGUUCAUAAUAUUCUAGAAAAGGAGGUAUUAAUUAAAAUCUCGCUGGGGUUCUAGACGUCGUCCCCGUUCCGUUUACAACGGAAAAUCACGGAUUAUUACGUCUUGUGUACAACGGCUGCGACAACUGCUAUUUCAUAUUGGGUCCUAGAACUAUUCUCAAUCAUAAAGUCCUGCAUUUGAAGCAUGCCCCCAGAACACCCACCCCCGUCAGGUCUAGAACUCUGCGUAGUUAAAAACAGUCAAGUAUAGUCGACAGAUCUGACAGUUUUUAUUGUGAAAGUGCAUGGAGACUGAUAUGCAAUGACUCGGCACAACUAUACGUGACCCCCCCCCCCCCCCCCNNNNNNNNNNNNNNNNNNNNAAAUGAGACCUAGCGUCACCCCUGCGUGUUUCAGUUAUAAUACUCUAUAGUUGAGAUAUCUCAUAAUGAACUAUUUCAUAAUUUCAGGUUAUUCAGUUGUAACGUUUUAAUUCUUCAUUUGUUUCCAAUGUUCUAUAUAGUACUCCAUUCGAAAGCUGAUCAUCACCAAUCGCUCCGACUGCUGUACAUCCAGACUUUCGAAUUUUGAGAUAAGGAUUGGCUUAUCUCUGAAUAACAAUGGCAACUCUAAUCCCACAUGUGGUGGAAAACAUUCACUGAGCACUGUAAUCACCAAGAGUAUCACGUGUCCACAGCCCAUGAUCGGAAGAUAUGUAAAUAUUAUACUUCCUGGACCACACAAAAUUCUUACAUUAUGUGAAGUGGAAGUGUAUGCCUAAAGGUCUAAAACGUUUUCUGAUUGAAACUAUAGUGUUGAACGUAUAAUAAUUAAACAUGCUUGUAGAGUAUAUUACGGUAUAAAAUUAUAAAGUGUAAACUACUGUUAUAUUCCACAAAGGCUUAACCCUAAAUUUCCUCAGCCAAUAACUGGCUAAAAUGAGUUAUUAUAGGUAAGAUAUUUUAGUUAUUAACCUCCCCACAACUAGAAAACACGUGUACACUACACACGUAAAAAUCUCACAACUUGUCAACAAGAUGUGUUCGAAACAGGCAAUUACAAUAUUAAUAUGACAUUGAAGUUUGAAUGUUGAAAAACGGAUAUCUUUCGAAAUCCGAUUUGCUUGGAAUGAUUUUUUCGAAGUAAAUCUUCAAUAAUCGAUCAUAUAACGUUAUCACGGAUGAUCUUAUUGAAAUACCAACUUUCAGAAAUUGACCAUGUAGGUUGUGUUGUUUACCUGUUUAAUUCGGAGCUUUUCUUUUUAUUAUAUGGUGGCUCGUGAGUCACUUUUCUGUUCUUUCCACACUAUGACGUCACACUGUGUAUCUAUAACUGAACAGACAACGGCAAAAUCUUAUUUAUUUGUUAAAUACACGAUUUAAAAAAUUGGACUAGUUCUUUACUACCUACUUUAGAGUGUCUUAACUGAGUUAAAAAAUAGAGUCGCUCAGAUGCUUUCUUUACAAUUGCGGAAACAUGUUUGUACGUUCCCCAUAUAUUAUGAUCACAUUUUGCAAGUGCUUAUACUGGUAUGUAUAGGUUAUCAUAUAAGGGAUGAAUGAGGUGAUAUCAGUUUUAUCGCUUGAGGGAUGGUAUCACAAUUGUCACGAGCGAGCGAGGGACAAUUGUGAUAUCGUCCCGAGAGCGAUAAAACUGAUAUCACCGAAUCCCGAGUACGAUAACCUAUUUAUUAUAAACUUGUACCAUUAUCAGGC
rnacentral:lncRNA from 1 species